rnacentral:lncRNA from 1 species
AGUAUAAAAGUUAAAAAUUAAACAAAUAUAAUUUUUUUUCUCCAAUUUUUGCUUUUACAUGCAAAGCCACACUAAAGAACCAAUACACAUGAUACAAAAAUGACCUUCAAUCAAUCUUUCCAAAAUGCUUAAUUUUGUAAACAUUUUAAUUAAAUAGUUGAAUUAAACAUAUCAUUUUCUUGAGUCCUUAGGCCUCACUUCAAUGCCUUCAAUGAUAAGCCCUCCUUUCAAAUGAUAACCCUUCACCUCCCUCAAGCUCAUCCUCACUUCCUCAUCACCUUCACCAUUAAAGAAGUCUCCAAGCUCAAGCUCCAUCCACCCAUCUCCAUCUCUCCUCUCACAUGGAACUCUUCCAUCACCUUCAAUCACUCUUGACCUCAACAUCUCUCCGCGGUUCCCAUAAAACAACCUCUCCAUCUGCUUGUUCUUGCUGUCACUACACCUCAGAUAUGCAGUCCCAUUACAGACUUGAGUGCUGUUGGAGACUUCUACAGAUAUCUCUGAUGGCAUCAAGUCAAGCCCAAAUGCCCGGUUGGAGAUUUUGAUGAUGAGAUAUGCACCAUAUUUUGUGUUUGGUGAGAGCAUUUGAGUUCUAAUCUUUCCAUGAAUUUCUAAUCUGCACACUGUUUUGAGCUCAGCCACCUCUGAGAACCUGCAUAUAAGAAAAUGUGAGUACCCUCUCCUAAGUCUUUGAUUUAAGAAAAUGGGUUAAUUUUAUUGACCACUUAUGUACUAGGUAUUGACUAAAUACACCUACACCCCAUUCAUUUUAAAUUUCAUCAAAUGUCUCCUUCAACCUUUUUAUUUAAUAUUUUUAUGUAUUUUUUUUAAUUCAAAAUAAGAAAUGUAUUUAAAGAAUUUUUAAAUCAAUAAAAAUUAAUUAUAUUUAGUUAAUAUCUCAAAAAAGAUUAAUGGAAUCAACCCUAAAAGAACUGAUCCUAAUUUCAGUUUUUCAAGGUGACCCAUUAUUAGGGUUUUCAAAACAAAUGUCAAAAUAUGUGAUAGAGACGCAUCAUCAUGGUGUCAUUUGUAUCACUAUAGCUUGUUCGAUACCCUUAUUACACUUGUUGAUUGUGACAGGCAUGACCGACAUCUCGAAGUUUGGAUUUAGGAGUUUGGAGGGCCCAGCAUGGAAGGUUACUUGGUCAUAAAAAAAAAAUUGAAGGGGAAACAAACCUUGACUCGGGGAUGGAUGUCCAACUCCAAUGCGUAGGAUCAUGGCUCCAUGAAAUGGACAAUUCUCUUGCAGACAUCAUAUAGGAAUUUUUGCCACUCCAUUUGUCUAAUCUGAAUCUCUGCAUUAGAGUCAACAAAGAGAUAAAUGAGAAUUAAUGAAAACUGACGACCAGCUACUUUACUUUUCUUUUUGGUCUCCUUAUGCUUUAUCUUCGAACACGGUAUUAGGAGGGUUUGUUUGAAACAACUCUUCUACUUUCCUCUUUGGAAUUCAAAUUCUAUGGAUUCAUUUGGGCUAUGCAUUCAUGACUCUUCUAGAUGGUGAAAUCAGUCAACUUUUAUGUGGGUAUUAUAUUGGAAAAUUUUUAUAUGGAAUAACAUUGAAUAAUUUGUAUUUAUAAAAAAAAAACAGUAUGUUAUAUAAUGAGUCAAAUUAAUUAGUGAUCAUAUUUAGAUUGAGUUUUACAUCUUUUGAAUAAAAGCUCAGUUGAGCGACAAGUGUAGGCUACGAGUCUCAUUGAAACCCAUUAUGGGAGGGCCUAAUAAAAACCUAAUAUUGAGUUAUGUUAUGUCUCAUUUCUAAUCUAGAUAAAUGGUCUUUCUGUUUUCUCAUAAAGCCACUAUAACUGUUAUCAAAAUCAUAGAAAAGAAGACUCGAUUGUAACAAUCAAUCACUUUUUUUUGUGAUGACUCAAACAUAUAUGUUCUUUAUAGUGAUUUCCUAUUAUUAGUAUGUAAUUAUGUAAAUAUUCUAAGUGUGGCCACAAUACCCGCGAGGCAUGACAGUAUUCAUGCAUAUAUUUUAAAAAAUAAUUAAUUUUAGGAGAAUUUUGGAUUAAGGGUGAUGAGGAGAGGCAAGAAAAGGGCAAUGAAACAAACCUUUUUCCCACCAUCAAUGAGACUGGGAUCACACAAACGCAGAAACAGCUCCUUCUUUGAAGAAACCACCAAGGGCUCAGCCAACCUCGACAAGAUAUCAUGAUAAUCCGCCGGCAAGAACCUCUCCCAGACCACAUCAGACUCCGCCGCUGCCCGGAAAAUGGAAGACACCAGUGAGGAUUUGCAUGCAUCUGGAGGAGAAGUGAGGGAGAGAAUUGUGGAAACACAGCCUUCUGGCAACGUAUUGAGGCCCACACAGUACACCAUUGUAAAGCAAUAUGUUAUUGCUCUUUGUCUUGCUGCCAUUUAUAAUAGAGAGAGAGAGAUGUAGGUGGUCGAUGGUGGACAGAUCCACCACGUAGGGCUGACUUCGAAUUGUAAAAUUUGGAGGCCAGUGUCUUCUGCCAGCAUAUUUAUGAUGACCCAGUGAUGAAAUUCAUGUCUGGUGGCCACCAAGUUGUUGUUGGGGAUUAAUGAAUCAUGUGGAUGAGUUCAUAUCACUGAAGAAGAUGUUGAAAUGAUGAGGGGAAGAGAGUGUGAAACGGUGGGGUGCCACGUGGCCACAUGUUUCAUGUAUUCAGGAUACGUGUAUUAAAGAUAUCACGGAAUAUUUGGUAAUAUGAAAAAUGUGAGAUGGUUAAUUUUAAGAAAAUGUUAAAAGAAAAAAGAAUUCAUGUGAAAAACAAAUUAUAAAGCUAAAGCUACCUCUGAGUGUGAUCCGUGUCAUUGUAUGUCAUUGCAAGCUUUUAUAAAGCCAAGGCACCGUGAUUUUUUAUAGUGAUUUUUUAAAACGUUUUUAAUUUUUUUUUUAUAUUUAAAAUUUUAAAAUAUUAAAAACGUUUUUGAUUGUAAAAUGUAUUUUAUUUUUAUAUAUGAGAUUUUUUUUGUUUUUAUUACCUUUAUUUAUUUUUAAAAUAAAAAUAAGAAGUAAAAGGGUAGUUUUAUGCUUUUAUUUUUAUUUUUCUUGACUUCCUCUUUCUUUUUUAAUUUAUUUUUUAUUUUUUUAUUUAAUUAAGGCAUUUUUUUCUUUAUCUUUUACCUUUUUAUUUAAUUAAAAAUAAAAGAGAGAGAGGAGGCUCUCUUUCCGAUUCUUUUUUCUCCCAUAAUUAAAUGACAAAAAUAAAAAUAAAAAGUAAUCGAAAUGUGUCAUUGAUCACUAUCAUCAUCGGCCAUAGGCCAUGGUAUGUCGCCACUCUUUCUUACUUACGAAAGGGAAAAAAAAAAAAAAGGGAAUUUGAGGAGUUUUGAAAACAGUUUUCUACUCUUCAAAACAAAAAAAAAAUAUUCGAAAACUAUUUUCUAUUUUCUAUUAUUAAAAAUAUAAAAUAUUAUAUUUUUAGAAUAAUAUCUUUUAAUAAAAAAAAACACUAUAUAUAAAAUUUAUUUAUUAAAACAUGUUUAAAAAUAUUUAAAAUUCAUAAACAUCCUUUUUGUUUUACAAAACAUUAAAAAAAUAACUUUUAAAAAACUAAUUUUCAUAAUUGUUUUAAAAAAAACUAAUUUUCAUAAUUGUUUUUUAAAACAAUUAUCAAACAAGGUCUAAAGUUCUGAAAAAUAUUAUCCCAUCAUUUUUAUUUUCAUCUUGUUAAAAUCCCCCAGUCUCACACUUUUUUUUUGUUAAAUAAAUAAAAACAAAAAGUGAAGAAAGAAGAAAAGAAGAAAUAGGAACAAGAAAAGAAAGAAAUAAAAAAUAUAGGAGGGAAGUGGGAAAAGGGCUUGAAAGAAGGUAAAAUCAUCCUUUCAUUUUUACUCUUUUUUUUUUUUCUUUUUUUUUUUUUAAAAAAAAAAUGGGGGAGUAAGGGAAAACUGGUGAAAGUGUUUCACAUUUUUCCUGCCAAACAUUUUUAUGAAAUGAGAGGAGGUUACAACCUGGCCUUAUGAAUUUGGUAUAUGCAAGGUUUGAAUUUGAUAGUUGGACUUUGAGUCUAUAAUAGUUAUUUAUAUUAAAUUAAUAAUUAAUAAAUUAGUUUAUAAUUUUAAAUAUAUUUAGUUUUUGUUUGAUAACCAAAUAUUAGUAAGAAUCCUAAUUGCCAACGAGUUUAGUGUAAAUUUAGAAAUUCCAAUCCAAUCUAGAAUGGGAGAAGUAGGUUUCCCCAUUCUUUAUAAUAAUAAUAAUAAUAAUAAUAAUAAUAAUAAUAAAUUAAAGUAGAGAAUAAGAAAAGUUUAUUAUUUAAAUUUUUUUAUUUUCCGAUCAUUUCUUUUCCCUUUUAUUUUAUUUUUGUUGUACUUCAUCUUUUAACGCAUCGAGUUUCAAAUCUCCCAUCUAUUAAAUUUUUUAUGGAUUUAAAUAUAAAUACUAACACUAACCCAUCAACAUGCAUUACAUUUUUUUUUUCAAUAUAAGAUUUAUUUCAAUAAAUUGAGUAGCCAAAACAUGAAAAGACAAGCUUUGUGUCACAUAAUUGUUAGAAAAAUGAGAAAACCAAACUAUCAAUCUCCAAUCCAAAAAUAGAAACAAAUACCGAUAUACCAAAAUAAUUUGUCUUUUCACUAAUACAAUUCAAGUGAAAGUAAUAUGUAAAACGUAAUUUACAUAAAGUAUAUAUAUAUAUAUAUAUAUAUAUAUAUAUAUAUAAAGACAAAAAAAACACCAAAACUUGACAUGGUUGGAUAGUGUGUCAACAUCUACAGGUCAAAUUAUGAUAAUAAUUGACUAUGAUUUGAAAAGAUUAUAGAUGUCUAUGCUCAAGCUUAUCACAAGAGAUCAGUUCAUGUACCCACAGAAAAAGGGAUACUAGUACUACCAUAAAUGUACCCAAUAUAACCUCUAAAUAACAAAUUGGAGAACCCAAAACACCCACGACACUUGCCUCGACGUGCCUUUCAAUGACCUAAAGAAAACCUCACAAUUUUUUUCCUUCUCUCCAUGACUCUCAUUGUCUUUUCUAUUUUAGUAAAAACCUUAAAAUUCUACUAAAUAAAUAUGUUACGGUGGCAAAUUUUGAUAUGAUUCAUCGAUAUAACAUGAACUUAACACAUUUUUUACGAGUUUGGAUUGAGUAUAAAUGAAUUUAAAUCAAAUUUGUAUCAACUUGUUUAACCGGUUCAAGAAAUAAGUAAUUUUUUAGUCAACCUACAUAAUAGGAAUUUAAUAUAAAUUGAACUAUCCAAUAAUUUUGUCAUUAACUUAAUUAUAUCUAUAAACUAUUUAGCCUGACUUAUUUUAAAUUUAUUUUAAAUAAAUAGGUCAAUUGAGUCAUAAAUAUAUUUGAUUGAAACAUUAAUCAUAUAGACAUAACUCAACCUAAUUAUUAAAUAAGAUGACUUGAUUAUUAAAUGAAUUAUACGAUGUGUUACAUAUUUAAUAAUUAGAUACUGUUUAGAUUUAUGUUUUUUACAUAAUUAUUAUUCAUGUUAGGUUUGAAUUGAGCUAUAUAAUAGAAUGCUUAAACUUUGACAUGAUACAAACACGAUCCACCAACAUGAAUUGUCACUUCUACUACUUGUAUUCACAUAUUGGGCUAAGAAUUGGUUCCAACAACCGUCAAUGUGCUACCCAGUCAAUAACAAAAAUGCUCCCACGAACAAAAUGGAACCUACACAUAGCAAUCUUCCCUUCUAGUACAUGAAUUAAGAGUGUAUUUGACAGUAUUUCUACUUAAAAUGCUUUUACAAAAAUAUUUUUAAUAAAAGUGUAUUUACAAGAAUUACCUAUUAAGAGUCCAUUUGACGGUAAUUUUAUGAAGAUUUUUUAGUCUAAAAAGUGUUUUUUUUUUUAUUUAAAAAAAAAGAUGUUUUGCUUUUACAUGCAAAACCACACUAAAUAACCAAUACACAUGAUACAAAAAUGACCUUCAAUCAAUCUUGCUUAAUUUUGUAAACAUUUUAAUUAAAUAGUUGAAUCAAACAUAUCAUUUUCUUGAGUCCUUAGGCCUCACUUCAAUGCCUUCAAUGAUAAGUCCUCCUUUCAAAUGGUAACCCUUCACCUCCCUCAAGCUCAUCCUCACUUCCUCAUCACCUUCACCAUUAAAGAAGUCUCCAAGCUC